rnacentral:rRNA from 1 species
AGUGAACGCUGGCGGUAUGCCUAAUACAUGCAAGUCGAACGGCAGCGCAGUAAGAGUUCGCUUCUUCGGGUGGCGUCUGGCGGACGGGUGACGAGUACAUCGGAAUCCUUUUUUUCGUGGGGGAUAACGUAGGGCAACUUACGCUAAUACCGCACACGACCUACGGCUGGUAGCAUGGUUUCUUCGGACCUUGCGUGUAUUAAUGAUCCGAUGUCGGUUUAGUUAGUUGGCGGGGAAAAGCCCCACUAAGGCGACCAUCAGUAGCUGGUCUGCGAGGAUGUGCAGCCACACGGGAACUGGGACACGGUCCAGACUCCGACGGGAGGCGACAGUGGGGAAUGUUGGACAAUGGGCGCAAGCCUGACCCAGCCAUACCGCGUGGGUAAAAAAGGUCUUGGGGUUGUAAAACCCUUUUUUUGGGAAGGAAAAGCAGCAGGUUAAUAAACUGCUAUUCUGACGGUACCCAAAGAAUAAGCGCCGGCUAACUACGUG